GGCACCAAUGUGCCAUGAGC
rnacentral:siRNA from 1 species